UACGGAGGGUGCAAGCGUUGUCCGGAUUUAUUGGGUUUAAAGGGUGCGUAGGUGGUAUUCUAAGUCUGGUUUGAAAGCUGGUCGCUUAACGAUCAGAUGUGGCUGGAAACUGGAGUACUUGAAUGCGUUGGCGGUAGCCGGAAUGGGUCAUGUAGCGGUGAAAUGCAUAGAUAUGACCCGGAACACCGAUUGCGAAGGCAGGCUACUACGACGUGAUUGACACUGAGGCACGAGAGCAUGGGUAGCGAACAGG
rnacentral:rRNA from 1 species